rnacentral:piRNA from 1 species
UAUCUUCAAUGACAUGCCAUAUAUUAUAGU